rnacentral:lncRNA from 1 species
UUGUACAGUCAAUAGAUCUUCUAAAGCGGACUCCUGAAAACACCAGAAUCAUGAGGUACCACAUAGUGUGCUGCCGGACCCUCCUUCCACAAGACCUCAUGCAGCCUCGUAACCUGACCACACUUUCUGGGGACAUCCUCUCCAUCACAUACUCUGAGGAAGAAGACAAGCAUCAAGUGAUUUUCAGUGGAGUCUUUGAGCUCCUGCAGGACAGCUGAAAUCACCUCUGAAACCAAGCAGUCAGUGCAGCUCUCUUUCUGAACACAAGAGGAAAAUGUGAUAAAGGAUUUAAGGAAACAAAUAAAAAUAAAGAAGUGUUAA